CUUCUAAUGCUCUUUGGUGUGUCUUUUGCAGUGUGACAUCUGGUCGCUGGGGAUAACCGCCAUCGAAAUGGCUGAGGGAGAACCACGUAAGUGAAUCAUAACAAUUGUGGCUACUUUAUUUUAUACAUUGAGCAGCAGAGGUUCUAUAUCAGAAUGGGAGGAAUUUGGGAUGAUUUGCCAUUUCCAGCAAAAAAUUACUUUUUCUAUAGAUUAAAUAAAUAACUUCUAGACAUGUUUGAUGGGCUUGAUAUAUAUGUUUUUCACUUUCAGCAUACACAGGGCAAUACCCAGUGGAGGACCUGAUAAUUGAAGCCCAACCACCGAAGCUUCAAUCAAACACCUGGUCACAGCAUUUUGUGUCCUUCUUGGAGUCCUGUCUGAAAAAGGACCCUUUGGAGAGAGCGAGUGCUGAAGAACUCCUGCAGCACCCAUUUGUCAUCCAACUGCCACCUAAGAAGAUCGUCAGGGCUGAGAUUGAAGAACAUCUCCGGACUCUGCAGAACCUGCCGGCCAAGAAAGGACUGAAGGGAGUUGCUCUCUCAAAGCUGCGGCGUGCUUAUGACUUCUGCACACAGACAUCGGCAGAACAAGAAGCAGCUCUGCAAAUGGCCCUGGAGGGCUUCUCCUGUUAUUGAUAUUGUGGCCAAUAACAUCAACAGCCCAGAAUGAGUUUCCUGAAUCACAGCCGAGGAAAAAGAAACAUCCACAGGAUCCAGUGGUGUCUGCAGCUCCACCAGCAACAUCUCCUUUCAAGCUGAUGCAGUUCAGCAAGUGGUAACUUCAAGAUUCCUGCAACUACACCAGCAGGGACUUUAUCUCCUUCUGUAGCUCCAUGAUUGUAUUCUUUUCAGACUACCACAUCUCCACCAGUGGUGUCUUUGCUUCAUUUUACCUCACUCCACCCACACACAUCUCCACCUCACUUUGAGGUGCCAUAGUUCCAUCCAUCUUCCUUUUUUUGCAGACUACUACAACUCCAACAUCUUGCCUUAAGCAUCUACAUUUCACAGAACCAUAGCUCCAACAUUCAUAUCCACCUCUAUAGCUCCACUAGCAGCAUUCACAUUUUCAAACACCAUAGCUCCACUAUUAGGACCUUAGUUUUCAUUAGUAUCCAAUUACCAAUCUACCCAAGGACUUUUCAUUUAACUUUAGCUCCACCACCAGCCCUUAUCCCAUAUUUUACCUCUACCCGCAAGCUCUGUCCUUGUGCUAACACACCUCCACCAAUAUCUUCUUUUAUUUACAUAUCAUCAAGAGUUUCCCCUUUUUAAAAUAUCUUUUAAUCCUUGCCCUUCUUCCUGCACCUCCAUUGGUUCUUCCAUUCCACCAAUACCAAGACAUUUAGUCACCACAGCACACACUAAACUGAUGCCCCCUACACAAAGGCUUCUCUUCUCCACUUUUUUCUUUUGCCUCCCCCGUGCAAUCUCCUAACACCAAUUCCUUGGUGGUUUCUUCUGUUCAAAUUCUUUCCUUUCUAAAUUCUAUCCUUUGAGCCUUCCACUCAACAACCAGUCACAUCUCCUACUCUAAACCCUGACAUAAACUCUUAGUACUGAUACUCACAUAAACUCAUAGUACAAGUUGAUCCAGGGACUCGUCCGAUUGCCCGUUGGGAGUCAGGAAGGAAUUUUUCCCCCUCUGAGGCAAAUUGGCUCUGGCUUCAGAUGGGGUUUUUGCCUUCCUCUGGAUCAACUACUAAAUAGGAAGAUCCCUUUUACACUAAAACUUGAACAUAAUGGAUGUGAGUCCUUCCCAACUUAAAUUAGUAUGAAUUAAUCUAAAAUGCAUAAAUAUAACAUCCAAUUUAUAAAUAAAUAUGUUAAUACACA